rnacentral:rRNA from 1 species
CCUACGGGUGGCAGCAGUGAGGAAUAUUGGUCAAUGGUCGGGAGACUGAACCAGCCAAGCCGCGUGAGGGAGGAAGGUACAGAGUAUCGUAAACCUCUUUUGUCAGGGAACAAAGGCGGGGACGUGUCCCCGGAUGAGUGUACCUGAAGAAACAGCAUCGGCUAACUCCGUGCCAGCAGCCGCGGUAAUACGGAGGAUGCGAGCGUUAUCCGGAUUUAUUGGGUUUAAAGGGUGCGCAGGCGGUCUGUUAAGUCAGCGGUCAAAGCCCGGGGCUCAACCCCGGCCCGCCGUUGAAACUGGCAGGCUGGAGUUGGAGAGAAGUAUGCGGAAUGCGCGGUGUAGCGGUGAAAUGCAUAGAUAUCGCGCAGAACUCCGAUUGCGAAGGCAGCAGGCCGGCUCCACACUGACGCUGAGGCACGAAAGCGUGGGUAGCGAACAGGAUUAGAUACCCGGGUAGUC